GUUUUGAGAAGCCAUCUGCUAUUCAGCAAAGGGGCAUUGUUCCUUUUUGCAAGGGCCUUGAUGUCAUCCAGCAGGCACAAUCUGGUACUGGAAAGACGGCAACUUUCUGCUCUGGAAUUCUCCAGCAGCUUGAUUACAGUUUAGUUGAGUGUCAGGCUCUGGUUCUUGCACCAACCCGUGAGCUUGCACAACAGAUUGAGAAGGUUAUGAGAGCACUUGGUGACUACCUGGGUGUGAAGGUUCAUGCUUGUGUUGGGGGUACCAGUGUCCGUGAGGAUCAGCGCAUCCUUCAGAGCGGUGUUCAUGUUGUGGUUGGUACUCCAGGCCGUGUCUUUGACAUGUUGCGCAGGCAGUCUCUUCGCCCCGACCACAUCAAGAUGUUUGUUUUGGAUGAAGCUGACGAAAUGCUCUCUAGAGGUUUCAAGGAUCAGAUUUAUGAUAUUUUCCAAUUGCUGCCACCAAAGAUUCAAGUUGGUGUUUUCUCUGCUACAAUGCCACCAGAGGCUCUUGAAAUUACUAGGAAGUUCAUGAACAAGCCUGUGAGGAUCCUUGUGAAGCGUGAUGAGCUCACUCUUGAAGGUAUCAAGCAAUUUUAUGUCAAUGUUGACAAGGAAGAGUGGAAGCUUGAAACUCUUUGCGAUCUUUACGAGACCUUAGCCAUCACCCAGAGUGUCAUCUUUGUGAACACCAGGCGCAAGGUUGAUUGGCUCACUGAUAAGAUGCGCAGCCGUGAUCACACAGUAUCUGCCACUCAUGGAGACAUGGACCAGAACACUAGAGAUAUCAUUAUGCGAGAGUUCCGAUCUGGAUCAUCUCGUGUGCUCAUCACUACUGAUCUUCUGGCACGUGGUAUUGAUGUGCAGCAAGUAUCCCUUGUGAUUAACUAUGACCUGCCUACUCAGCCAGAAAACUACUUGCAUCGUAUUGGUCGUAGUGGACGAUUUGGAAGGAAGGGUGUAGCUAUCAAUUUUGUCACAAAGGAUGAUGAAAGGAUGCUUUUUGACAUUCAGAAGUUUUACAAUGUUGUAGUUGAGGAGCUGCCAGCCAAUGUGGCCGAUCUUCUUUGAGGUGAUUUUGGUUCUGUGAGGUGAAUUUUUCGUUAUAUUAAGUAAUUUAAUAUUUUAUUGUUAGGUUAGUUAGAGCCGCAGUGGACUAAAACUUGGAAACUGCAGUUUCUGUGAUUCGCCGUGGGAAUUGUAGUUUUCCAAUUUAGUUGGACUUAUUUACAAAUUUUGUUGGUUUUGUCUUUUUGUAUUGUAAGUCCACAACAACUUCAGGUUUUGGAUGUCUUUGAAUUUAGUAUAUUUCAUUUUAAUCCUUGGCCUUUUUUUCUUCUUCUUUUUUUUUCAAUUGAUGAUUGAUUGUGGCUUCGUUUGUCUGUUAGUUCUUUUGAGUUGGUUCUAGAUUUUCUAUUAAGAUUCAGCCGCUUGUCCAAGUUCCUUAUCUUUCAAGGAUUUUAGGCUACAAAUGAUGGCAUUUUAUUACAUUAUAGAAAUUUUUCUUACCAUCAAACUCCAUAUGAAUUGAACUGAUAUAGGAUAUUUGAGUUCGUGGAAAUAGGAUAAUUUCAUCGCUUUUACUUCAUAAAUGAGUAUCAAAAUUAAAACUUCGAUAGUUUCGACAGUCACGAAGUUGAAGCAUUUUGGAUUGUUGUGUGAAGGAAGUAUGAACUAUGAAAUUUUGGGUUUAAUGGUUGUCAUUAGUUACUGCAUAGGUGCAUGACCUUUGGUCCUUAAGUUCUUCUCACAUGGUGCAUCAGAUACUGCAUGCUUCUCAGUUUCAUGCAAAACCGUCAUGGAUUGUAGUAACUGAUGCAUGUGCUUCAAAAAUCAGUUCAUUCUUAUUUAUUUGGCCUAGGUGUUGUGGCUUUCUAGUUAAUCAUUGUUACAAGAUAAAAUUAUUGCUGCAAGGUAAAUGAAUUAUGAAUCCUGAAAGUGUUAAAUAGUGUUUUAUCUUAACAUUUUUGUAGAAAUAUCAUUGUAAAGCCUCAUCUGCGAAAGAAUGCUAGUGUGCUCUAACGUCCCCUUUAAUGCACCUACCCUACCUUACUUUCAAAACACACAAAUUUAAACACAGUCAUGCCAAAUUAAAAUGAGUGUGCACAUUAAAAAAAAAAAAGUUUUUCUCUCUGAUGAUCUAAUGGAUCUGUGGCAGUGCUUAAUAGAAGAUUUCACCCCUUUGUGAGGAAGUAUAUUUCAGGGACAAUCUGACGUUUUCCCAAGUUGUGCUCCAUUUGAUUUUUGCAGGUGACAACCAAGUUCUCUUUUCUGAUAAAGUAUUGAAAUUCACUAGUUCAGGGAAGGUGAAACGACGUAUAUUAUUAAUAAUAGACUUUGCCAUUUAUAUUGUUGACCCGGAGAAUGAUGCACUUAAACGGCGCAUAGCAUUAGGAGCUGUGGAAAAGAUAUUUUUGAGUGAAUUACGUGAUAAUUUCUUUGCAAUCAUCAUUCCAACAGAGUAUGAUAUACCUAUGGCUAGCACACGAAAGACAGAAACUGUCACCGUGUUAGUUGAAGCUACAAAGAGUGCAUCUGACUACGAACUUGAGGUGGUUUUCUCCAAUAGGUAGAAGAAAUCUGUUGGUGUCAGUUGUCAAUCUUAUUAUGUUAUUAAAUGUGUUACUUCUUAAGGUUUUCACGAGGGACUACUCAAUAGAUGCUUUAUACAAGGGCAUGCUAGGUUUAAUAGUAUUGAUCCUUAAGAGCACAUUCGUUCAUUAUUUUUUGUUUGCAGUGCUUGAUACACUUGCCUUACAGUAGUUGCCUUGUAGAAUAGGAAUAUUUGGUAUGAGCUGUUUACCUCUGCCAUUGACUUUGUAGCCAGUCUGUUACAUGUAUUUAUGAGCAUGUGCAGACCUGGGGAAUUAGUUAUGAUCAGAAAGGGAUAGAGAGGUCUUCUUAGAUAAGAGGGAGUGAAUAAUUUUGGUAUUGGAGAGAAUAAUUCUUUGGCCUAAAAGCAAAAGCAAUAGUAUGAGAUAUCUAUGAAUGUUAUUGCUUAAGAACAUCAUUGUUGGAAGAGUUGCUGUCAACAUUUGUUAUGUUGGAUUUUCUUUGUUAAUUGAUAAUGCCACUUAUCUUUACAGUUUCGAGUAUCAUGCAGCUGCUGAAUUGGUGAAAGAAGUUAAAUUUGAGGAAGUAGAAGGUUAGUGAUGCUAUGCUAUGAAAAUUUCUCCUUUCUCCAGCCAUUACAAGAAGACUAUAGCUACAAGACGACUUGUGCUAUUAGUUUAUCAUGUCUUAAUUCUGGGUUGUAUGGGUUGUUUCUACUUGUAAAGCCUUUUUUCGUCAUCUCUCUCUCUCUCUGAUUUCAGUUGGUGUUAAAACUAGAAUUGUCAGGAAGUGAGUUGCAGCUUAUACAUGCCUUCAUAUGUUUGUAGACUAUGUGGGAAUCAGCAUUUUUCAUUGUAAAGACACAAGAUCAUUAAGAUUCAUUACAUUGUGAGUUACAACUCAGCAUCAAGGCCAAUGCCAAUGAAAUUUAGCUUUUUCAUUCCUUCAGUGUAUUUUUUUUUUGUGUAAUUUUUAUAGUAAAAGAACAAUAGUUGUUCAAUACGAAACAGACUCCAUUCGAAUGUAUGAAAUGAGAAUAAGUAAUAUAGAAGUUUUUUUCUAUGCUGA
rnacentral:misc_RNA from 1 species